AUCUUUUUCUGGUUCAUAAGCAUAUGAUUGGAUCCUCACAUAUUUGCAUGACAUGUAUCUCCCUUAAACCUUGUUAUGAUGUGGGCACAUUACCCAUCUGACC